GUCGAGGGGCAUCAGUUUGGUUUGCUUGCAAACCAAAGCUGGCGAGGGCGCACGGGUGAGUAACACGUAUCCAACCUGCCUCAUACUCGGGGAUAGCCUUUCGAAAGAAAGAUUAAUAUCCGAUAGCAUAUAUUUCCCGCAUGGGUUUUAUAUUAAAGAAAUUCGGUAUGAGAUGGGGAUGCGUUCCAUUAGUUUGUUGGCGGGGUAACGGCCCACCAAGACUACGAUGGAUAGGGGUUCUGAGAGGAAGGUCCCCCACAUUGGAACUGAGACACGGUCCAAACUCCUACGGGAGGCAGCAGUGAGGAAUAUUGGUCAAUGGACGCGAGUCUGAACCAGCCAAGUAGCGUGAAGGAUGACUGCCCUAUGGGUUGUAAACUUCUUUUAUAUGGGAAUAAAGUGGUCCACGUGUGGAUUUUUGUAUGUACCAUAUGAAUAAGGAUCGGCUAACUCCGUGCCAGCAGCCGCGGUAAUACGGAGGAUCCGAGCGUUAUCCGGAUUUAUUGGGUUUAAAGGGAGCGUAGGCGGAUUGUUAAGUCAGUUGUGAAAGUUUGCGGCUCAACCGUAAAAUUGCAGUUGAUACUGGCAGUCUUGAGUGCAGUAGAGGUGGGCGGAAUUCGUGGUGUAGCGGUGAAAUGCUUAGAUAUCACGAAGAACUCCGAUUGCGAAGGCAGCUCACUGGAGUGUAACUGACGCUGAUGCUCGAA
rnacentral:rRNA from 1 species